AUAGAGAAAAGUGUUUAUAGAAGAAAGUUUAGGGACUCCUGUCUGUUAUAGGUAUAGCUGCAUAGCAUACUUGAAUUAGCAGUAGUUGUCAUCUUUCCUGGGCUUCUGUUCAAUUAUACGUAGCUUCCACUUCCCAACUUGUCUGAGUUAUAGCCAAGGCCGGAUGGCUUAAUUUAUGCAACCAAACAAGAAUGCAAAUACGGAUAGGCGUGAUCACAUGCAAGUUAAUUUAUCAUCAACUGCUUAGAUUAACUGAUAUAAGGUAUUGAGGUUCUUCAAGUCACUCCCAGUGCUUAAUCAUUAUGAGUUGGAGUACUUGAUAUGUAUAGUUGUUUUUAAGUAGAUAUGUAUAAUUGUGUUAAGUACUUAAAGAAUUUUUUUUAUAAUUCAUAAUGAUCUUACUCCAAUCAAAUUAUCUCUCAGUAGAGGAUAUUGAUAAUAGUAAUUGUUGAUUGUUCAAUUGUCUUAAUUUAUAUAUAGUGGAUAUAUGGGUUUUAAUU